UGGGGAAUUUUGGACAAUAGGCGAAAGCCUGAUCCAGCAAUGCCGCGUGUGUGAAGAAGGCCUUCGGGUUGUAAAGCACUUUUGUCCGGAAAGAAAUCCUCUGGGUUAAUACCUCGGGGGGAUGACGGUACCGGAAGAAUAAGCACCGGCUAACUACGUGCCAGCAGCCGCGGUAAUACGUAGGGUGCAAGCGUUAAUCGGAAUUACUGGGCGUAAAGCGUGCGCAGGCGGUUUUGUAAGACGGAUGUGAAAUCCCCGGGCUUAACCUGGGAACUGCAUUCGUGACUGCAAGGCUAGAGUAUGGCAGAGGGGGGUAGAAUUCCACGUGUAGCAGUGAAAUGCGUAGAGAUGUGGAGGAAUACCGAUGGCGAAGGCAGCCCCCUGGGCCAAUACUGACGCUCAUGCACGAAAGCGUGGGGAGCAAACAGGAUUAGAUACCCUGGUAGUCCACGCCCUAAACGAUGUCAACUAGUUGUUGGGGAUUCAUUUCCUUAGUAACGUAGCUAACGCGUGAAGUUGACCGCCUGGGGGAGUACGGUCGCAAGAUUAAAACUCAAAUGAAUUGACGGGGUCAUAGCUGUUUCC
rnacentral:rRNA from 1 species